UGAGCUAUGACAGGAACGCCU
rnacentral:miRNA from 1 species